rnacentral:rRNA from 1 species
AUUGAACGCUGGCGGCAUGCCUUACACAUGCAAGUCGAGCGGGGGAAGGUAGCUUGCUACCGGACCUAGCGGCGGACGGGUGAGUAAUGCUUAGGAAUCUGCCUAUUAGUGGGGGACAACAUCUCGAAAGGGAUGCUAAUACCGCAUACGUCCUACGGGAGAAAGCAGGGGAUCUUCGGACCUUGCGCUAAUAGAUAAGCCUAAGUCGGAUUAGCUAGUUGGUGGGGUAAAGGCCUACCAAGGCGACGAUCUGUAGCGGGUCUGAGAGGAUGAGCCGCCACACUGGGACUGAGACACGGCCCAGACUCCUACGGGAGGCAGCAGUGGGGAAUAUUGGACAAUGGGGGGAACCCUGAUCCAGCCAUGCCGCGUGUGUGAAGAAGGCCUUAUGGUUGUAAAGCACUUUAAGCGAGGAGGAGGCUACUUUAGUUAAUACCUAGAGAUAGUGGACGUUACUCGCAGAAUAAGCACCGGCUAACUCUGUGCCAGCCGCCGCGGUAA